UGAACGCUGGCGGCGUGCCUAAUACAUGCAAGUCGAGCGAACGGACGCGAAGCUUGCUUCUCUGAUGUUAGCGGCGGACGGGUGAGUAACACGUGGAUAACCUACCUAUAAGACUGGGAUAACUUCGGGAAACCGGAGCUAAUACCGGAUAAUAUUUUGAACCGCAUGGUUCAAAAGUGAAAGACGGUCUUGCUGUCACUUAUAGAUGGAUCCGCGCUGCAUUAGCUAGUUGGUAAGGUAACGGCUUACCAAGGCAACGAUGCGUAGCCGACCUGAGAGGGUGAUCGGCCACACUGGAACUGAGACACGGUCCAGACUCCUACGGGAGGCAGCAGUAGGGAAUCUUCCGCAAUGGGCGAAAGCCUGACGGAGCAACGCCGCGUGAGUGAUGAAGGUCUUCGGAUCGUAAAACUCUGUUAUUAGGGAAGAACAUAUGUGUAAGUAACUGUGCACAUCUUGACGGUACCUAAUCAGAAAGCCACGGCUAACUACGUG
rnacentral:rRNA from 1 species